rnacentral:rRNA from 1 species
ACAGAGGGUGCAAACGUUGCUCGGAAUUACUGGGCGUAAAGCGCGUGUAGGCGGACCGGUAAGUCAGAUGUGAAAGCCCUGGGCUCAACCCGGGAACUGCAUUUGAAACUGCCAGUCUUGAGUGAUGGAGAGGGAAGCGGAAUUCCUGGUGUAGAGGUGAAAUUCGUAGAUAUCAGGAGGAACACCGGUGGCGAAGGCGGCUUCCUGGACAUUGACUGACGCUGAGACGCGAAAGUGUGGGGAGCAAACAGG